ACUAUGAAGGGAAGGAAACUGGCCUUAGAGAGCUACCCAGAGACAUCUGGCAGCCUGCUUUGUUGCCCUACAAGGACUAAGGGAUGGGCUCCACCAAUCAAAAUGAAGAUUUGCUGAGACCAGGAUGUGCCGGCCGGGCUGAAUCGGGGACCAGAAGAGAAAACUCUGAUCAGAUAAGGAAAGGGAAGAGACGGGGCUUGAGGGAAGGCUUAUCAAUGGAAAGCAAAAUGAAAGCAAUUCUUUUGAGGAAGGACAGUGAGGAGCAGUUUGGUGUAGAAGAGGAGAGAGGCUGUUCCAGAACAUCGAGCUGGCAAGAAAAAUGAAGUAGCAGACUUCCUAUCCCGAUCCACAACUGCAGGAGACUGAACAAGUUGGAGAAACAGAAAAAUUGAUCCAAUUCAACAUGCAUGAGGAGCCAGAGCAGAAACACCUUGUUUUGGGACUGUGAGCUAAGAGGGGAGGUAUGUAACAGGGAGACAUUGUUCCCCGUUACUUGAAAACAGUGAAGGAAGAAACUUACCACACCGGCGAUGAG